GAGUGGGUGGAAAGUUCAAUGGGGAUGUGGGAUCCCAGAAGGGCAGCGGGGAGGGGGGGGCCUCCUACCAGAGCAUGUGUCUGCAAACCGGGGGGCGGGGGGGGCUCCUCGCUGGCCGAUCUGUCAGCGCGGCAGCGGGUGUGCGCUGGGCGGAGGUGUGGAGUCCCCCUGAGACGGGCCGAACCGUCCGAAAAGGGAGAAGUCUCGUAUUUGACAGAAAGCCGCAAUGACGUUUCUUGUCCCCUUUGUGAUCCAGUGCAAACAUUCUCUCACUCGCUCGCGUUGUUGAUGCUGAAACGCUGGACUACCUGAGUUGUCGUGCUUCGCCCGUUCGGCGCCUGUUCACCGCUUGAAGACGGGAAGGGGGGGGACGCCGACAACACUUGACGAGAAGGACCUCUGCUGGAUGCGUCUCGACACUGCCAAACUCGCCCGUUUCCUCCGAAAGGGGAAGCUACACUGCAGACCGGCAUCGCAGGCUGAUUCCACCAGCGAAGCAUCAAAACUUCGAAGCCGAAGGCUCUGCAUCCACAACAAACAGAGUCGAGUGCAGGAAACACAGAACCUGUCGUCUGCAGUCAGUGAAGCUCCGGUCCAGACUCCUGCACGAGGCCUCCUGCAGUAGCUUUGCUUACAGUGCCCCCUUCUGUCAUAUGAUACAACCAUAUAUACACAUUGACUCAUAUGCAUAUGUAUGUACACAGCACCAGUCAGUCAGGUGGGACACAUCUUCUCAUUGUGUCUCUCGACUGGUACUCUACAUCAUUUUUCUCUCUUCAAGUAUCUCAAUCGGUAUUUUGCAGGUUUUCACCUGACCUGACUAAAGUUGUGAGUGGCGCUUCGUUGCCCCCCCGCUCAUCUACCACAGUGGAAAAAUGUGGUGCUGCACAGGAAGCCAUGAGAUGCACUCGUGUGUAGGAGGUGCUGCUACGGUAGAAAAAGGGGGUAGCUCAGGAGUUUGGGUGCUUACUACAGCAGCAUCCACUGCUAUUUUUAACCCGACCGGUUCGUAACAUCUUGAGCGCCUCCACACAGAACAUUUAUAUUGAUAUAUAUUUAAGUGUAUUAUUUGAUUGCAGCUAUCGAACAACAGCAUAUUUGACUGCAGCUAUCGUACAACAUGUUAUAAUAGUUAAUACAACUUCAUCAAUGCAUUUUCUCCACUGUGUGCCUUUGAGACUUGAUUAAAAACGGGUUUGUCGAUGUAA